GCGGAUAUAGUUCAGUGGUAGAACACCUCCUUGCCAAGGAGGUUGUCGCGCGUUCGAGUCGCGUUAUCCGCU
rnacentral:tRNA from 1 species